rnacentral:rRNA from 1 species
GACAAGGCUCCAGGCCCUUACGGGGCGCAGCAGGUGCGAAAAUUCCGCAAUGCGUGCCAGCGCGACGGAGUGACUCCCAGUGUCGAUGGUCUAACGACCGUCGACUUUUCUGGAUUGUAAAAAGUUCUAGGUAAUAAGGGCCGGGUAAGACUGGUGCCAGCCGCCGCGGUAACAUCAGCGGCCCGAGUGGUAACCGAUUUUAUUGGGCCUAAAGCGUCCGUAGCCGGACUGACAAGUCCCUUGUGAAAUCGGGCGGCUUAACCGCUCGGCUUGCAAGGGAAACUAUUGGUCCUGAGACCGGUAGGCGUCUAGGGUACUCCAGGGGUAGCGGUGAAAUGCUAUAAUCCCUGGGGGACCGCCAGUGGCGAAAGCGCUCGGCGAUGCCGGAUCUGACGGUGAGGGACGAAGGCCAGAGGAGCG